GGGGGCUGCUCCUAGUACGAGAGGACCGGAGUGGACGCAUCACUGGUGUUCGGGUUGUCAUGCCAAUGGCACUGCCCGGUAGCUAAAUGCGGAAGAGAUAAGUGCUGAAAGCAUCUAAGCACGAAACUUGCCCCGAGAUGAGUUCUCCCUGACUCCUUGAGAGUCCUGAAGGAACGUUGAAGACGACGACGUUGAUAGGCCGGGUGUGUAAGCGCAGCGAUGCGUUGAGCUAACCGGUACUAAUGAACCGUGAGGCUUAACCUUACAACGCCGAAGCUGUU
rnacentral:rRNA from 1 species